rnacentral:rRNA from 1 species
AAGCUCGUAGUUGGAUUCAGAGGUGGGGUUGUGGGUCGGGUGUGGCCCGGCAGCUUGUCUCCGUGUGCCGCUCCCAAUCAACCCGCGUUUGCCCCAGCCUCCUAUCGCACGGAAACGGAGUCCUGCUGGGGUCUCCUUAACUGGGGGUUCCAGCGCUUCCGCGCACAACGUGCGCUUACGGACCGUCCGUGGACGUUACUGUGAACAAAACAGCGUGUUCAAAGCAAGUGGCUUGCCUGCCCUGCAUGUUAAAGCAUGGAAUAACAAGGCAUCGACCACUCGGCGGUGCUUUUGUUGGUCUUUCCCUCCCGGUGGGAAUGCGCAGGCGUGCACACUGCCGGCCUUCUGGCCGGUCUGGGUGCCGUCUCUUCGAGAUCAAUAGGGGCAAACGGGGAGAUACCUAUUGUGGGGAGAGCGGUGAAAUGCGAUGACCCCCAUAAGAGGAACUUCAGCGAAAGCAGUUCUCAAGACUGCCUUCGUUAAUCAAGAACGAGACUGUGGGGAUCAAAGAUGAUCAGAUACCGUUGUAGUCCACUAGCGUAAACGAUGCCGACUCAUCAUUGGGGGGGCAUCU